GGAAUAGCUCAGACUGAGAAUCGAGUGUGCAUGCGCGCCCUCGAGUUGUAUAGUGUCGACAACAGUUCAGCGUGUGGUCCGGGCCUAAGUCCUUUGGAACAAGGUAUCAGAGAGGGUGAGAAUCCCGUCUGUGGCAAGGAGUCCGCCGCGUACGAACGUUGUUCUACGAGUCGAGUUGUUUGGGAUUGCAGCUCUAAGUGGGUGGUAAGUUUCAUCUAAAGCUAAAUAUUGGCGAGAGACCGAUAGCGAACAAGUACCGUGAGGGAAAGAUGAAAAGAACUUUGAAAAGAGAGUUAAACAGUGCUUGAAAUUGCUAAGAGGGAAGCGCUAGAAACUAGUGAGUGGCGGGUAUCAUUUUGCCCUUCUGCAYUGUUGAGUACGGGUCGGCCGUUGGCAACUCGGUUGUAUUCGUGGUCGGCGGUGCAGGGGGAUGCUGUGGUGCUUUAGCCGUGUCAGAAUGAGUUGGGCGUGUGGGAGAGCGAUGUGGGUAAGGUAGGGUUGCUUGCAACCUGUUAUAGACCUGCAAUCGUACCAUGCGGCCGACUGAGGAGAGCGUGAGCGGUCAUAAUGCGCCACUAGGCGUGGGCCGGUGCUGCCAUGCGCUGUGGGUGCUUGGAUGACAAUGUCAUGCUGGCGCCUACCUGUGUAUGCUCGGUGCCGUGCUCGUCUGCAUUAUCACGAUUCUGACCAAAGAGUUUCUAUCGACCCGUCUUGAAACACGGACCAAGGAGUCUAACAUAUAUGCGAGUAUUUGGGUGGCAAGCCCUGAUGCGCAAUGAAAGUAAAUGUGGCCUUGUGUCACUGAGGUAGGAACCGCUGCCGUAAGGCUGGUGGGGCACUAUCGUCCGAUCAUCACUUGUGAGAGAUUUGAGUAAGAGCAUAUCUGUUGGGACCCGAAAGAUGGUGAUCUAUGCCUGAACAGGGUGAAGCCAGGGGAAACUCUGGUGGAGGCUCGUAGCGAUACUGACGUGCAAAUCGUUCGUCUGAUUUGGGUAUAGGGGCGAAAGACUAAUCGAACCAUUUAGUAGCUGGUUCCCUCCGAAGUUUCCCUCAGGAUAGCUGGAACUUAUACAGUUUUAUCAGGUAAAGCUAAUGAUUAGAGGUCCUGGAGCUGAAACAGCUUUAACCUAUUCUCAAACUUUAAAUAGGUAAGAAGUACGGUGUUACUUAACUGAACCUGUACCUUCGAAUGAAGAGUUCUUAGUGGGCCAUUUUUGGUAAGCAGAACUGGCGAUGCGGGAUGAACCGGACGUGGUGUUACGGUGCC
rnacentral:rRNA from 1 species